AGUAGAGAGGAUGGUGGGGAUGACGUCAAAUCAUCAUGCCCCUUAUGUCUAGGGCUACACACGUGCUACAAUGGUGCGCACAGAGGGCUGCAAACCCGCGAGGGGGAGCCAAUCUCACAAAACGCAUCGUAGUCCGGAUCGCAGUCUGCAACUCGACUGCGUGAAGUCGGAAUCGCUAGUAAUCGUGAAUCAGAAUGUCACGGUGAA
rnacentral:rRNA from 1 species